rnacentral:tRNA from 1 species
AUUUUGGCAGAAUUAAAUGCAUUGGAUUUAGAAUUCAAUAAUAUAUAAUUAAUUUAUAUAGAUAAUAUAU